GACGUAGGAUGCGAGCGUUGUUCGGAUUUAUUGGGCGUAAAGCGUACGUAGGCGGCUUUUUAAGUCUGGUGUUAAAGCUAGGGGCUCAACCCCUGUGAUGCACUGGAAACUGGGAAGCUUGAGUGUGGUAGGGGAAGGUGGAAUUCCGAGUGUAGCGGUGAAAUGCGUAGAUAUCAGGAGGAACACCGGUGGCGAAGGCGGCGUCCUGGACCAAUACUGACACUGAGUGAGCGAAAGCCAGGGGAGCAAACGGG
rnacentral:rRNA from 1 species